UUAAACGAAGUAACAUGAAAAAAUGUGAUAUAAAACACUAUAUCCUGUCGUUUUCAUAAAAAAAGUGAUUUAGGCAGCGUGCACUGACACUGAUUAUCCUGUACUUUUGUUUGUUAUAAAAACCAAAUAUCAUAUAUAACACAUUCCUUUAUCAAGUAUAAGAUGUUUGUGCAACAGGAAAUAUACAAGCAAGUUCGGUCAAAAACAAAUAAGUCUGCACUUCACCACAAAGUUAAAUAAAAAAUAUAAAGUUUUACAAUGCAACUUUGUCCUUAGUCAAAACGAUUUGCCCAGGAACAGAUAAUAUAUUUAUGAGACCAAAGAUUGUCCAUAAGACAGUACCGAAAAUAAAAUAUAUAUAACACUGUUAACCACUACAUAACACCCAGCGGUGAUUUUCAGAAGGACUUGCCGAGAUCAAGCUGCGUUGGGCGGGGUACAUGAGCGCUAAGUACCCGUUGGUUGUCUGGAUCAAAACUCCGAAAAAGUUGGGGCAGAUUUUUUAAUAAACGCUCUCUUUAUAAACCGACCGCAAAUUUGAACUUUUUAUACAUACAUUCUCGCCUAAAAAGCUUUUGAACAUACACUUUGUGACACAAUAAGAGUAAUAUUUCAAACAUUAUGCAGGCGUUCUCUUCCAUUGGUGGCUGUCAUAAGUUCACACGAAUCUGCUGAUGACGUUUCACAUGGACAGACAACUACGCAUUAUUGUAUUUUUAAUUGUAUUUUUUGCGUGUGUUAUUUUUAUUUCAUUAUUAUAAAAAUCAUGAUAAUUAUUAUUGAGCCUUGGGUGGCAGUCUGUUUUGAAUUUGUUUUAUUGAAAAAACAAACACACAACGCAUAUUGUGUUGCGCCUGCGCAGUGACGUUCUUUUCCAACCGCCUUUCCAGUCAAGAGGUCAAGAAUGUUCCUGUCUGCAUCAGCUAUCCAUCUGAAAAAGAAAAGCUGGCACUCUCAAAGGAGAUUGUGUUGUUGGAUUAUGGUCUCAUUUGGUCAAAAAGAGGGACAUGUACCGAGCAUUUUUUUUUUUUUUUUUUGAUGGGCCAUCACACAGUGGAUUUAUAAAAAUGAGAUUACAGAACAUCAGAUGGUAGCUUCAACAGAGUUGAAGUGGGAGGACAUCAUCAAUAAAGAAUGCCAUUGACCAAACCUUCAGUCAUCAAAGAAGAUGGAUACAGGGGGACAUCAAGUUUUCCAGACUUACCGAUGGGAAAAAAGAAAUGGGAAUGUGACAAUUAUUGAGAAACUCAGGGAAAAAGCAUCUUUAGAGAAGAAAAUGGACAUCAGACAUUUAUUGAAGAAAGCUGACAGUCAACAUAAUGAUGAGAGCUGUGUUAUACAAUGUUAAGGAUACUCUUCUGCUGUGUGAAUUCUGCUGUCUCAGACCUGUGGGACUUGAUGCCGGCUGGUACCAGUGUAACGUCUUUGCUUACUAAAUGAUCAAAGGAUAUCUGAAAUCAGCUCAGCCACAGUUGGUUUCCAACGGUUCUUCAGGACAUGGAGGCCACUACGUAACUGUUGCAAUGAACGAUUCUUUUGCCUUUCCACCUGAUGUUGACAAUCUGACCUGUGCGGUACUGAAAACAACUUGCACUGACAUAUCUUAAAAUAUAUCAGUGCCCUUUGUUUUGCCUCAAAAUGCACACCAGUAAUGUUUUUUGUUGAAACCAGUUAUAUUUCCUAAUUAAACUAAGGCCUAGUCCUGGAUUAAGCUAAUCCCCUGUCCGGGAAACCGCCCCUAAAUGUUUUGUGACGGAAAUUUCUUUGAAUACACUUGUCAAGUUCAUUUUAAGUAUUUUUCUUAAUGUAAGAUAACAUGUUAAUGUUUCAGGACAAGUUAAACAUUUUUGAUAACUUGCAUGUUGGAAACGAUUUCAGACAUUGUUCUAUUCAACAUGUUUAACACAGUUGCUUUUAAAUUCAACGAAUUAUUUUAUAAAUAGUGUUUUAAAGCGUAUCAAUGUAAUGUAUGUUGGAAGUAAUUAUACUUGCACUUACAUUUAUUUAAAUUAGCAUACAUCUAGCAACAUAAAGUACUAGCAUAUUUUCAUGCAAGC